GGCACGGAGGGUGUCUGAGGAAGACUGCUCUGGGCACAGCGAAGAAUGGUGUUGUGUAAAGAUUAGCCUCUGGCAUGGAACACGGUCUCGACUCUGUCCCUGACGUUCUGUGUGCUGCGUGGCCUGUUGCUCCAUCAGUCCAGUAGUUCGAAUCAUCUCCAAGUCCUAGGCCUUUUCUGCCCCUCUCACUCGCCAGCCGUUUGUAGCGGUGAAUUGCUGAGACUGCCUCUUCUCUGGCCUUGUGCCUGAACACCAAAGUGACAGCCCCAGACCCACCCCUCACUCACAGCCCAGUGGGGGGCCAGAUAGUGACCGCCCAGAAUGGUCAGGCCUGGGCUGGGGGAAACAGAGGAGUUAGGGCCGGUAUGCGGGAAGUACAGGGCCCUGUGGGAGCCAAGCGGAGCAGAGGGCUCCUGACUCAGCCUGAUGGGUCACAGAGCUUUCAAAGGAUUGGAUGGGGGCGGGGCCUUGGAAGAGGCUCCACUUCUAAGAAGGGGAGAUAUUUGAGCUGAGGCCUGAAGAAUGAGUAGCAUCCUAUGAAGUGUUAAAAGAGAGGUGACACAGAUCUAUAUGUGACUCAUCUGUAUGAAAUGGCAUCCAGGACAUUCUAUUAUUGGGGGAAAAUAAUGCAAACUGCAAUACAAAAAAAAAAAAAAAAAGGAACGAGUAGCAUUCUUCUGGGAAAAGGUGCAGUGUCAGGAAUGGGGUUUCAGGCAGAGGAAAUGACAUCUGCAAGGGCUUGGAUUCAGAAAGCGUGGCUCGGGCUUCCCUGGUGGCACAGUGGUUGAGAGUCCGCCUGCAGGUGCAGGGGACACGGGUUCGAGCCCCGGUCUGGGGGGAUCCCAUGUGCCGCGGAGCGGCUGGGCCCGUGAGCCAUGGCCGCUGGGCCUGCGCGUCCAGAGCCUGUGCUCCGCAGCGGGAGAGGCCACAACAGUGAGAGGCCCUGGGGACCCCCUUGCUGCCCUGGCGAGCCAUCUGUCACAGGUCCCCUAGUCCAGGAUCCAGCCGGUUGAUGGGCUGUAAUGUAAACCCUUGAGGGCAGACCCUAGGCUUGUUCCCUCACAGCCUGGUGGUUCAGUGACUGGCCUUGAGGUCGACCAGAAGCUGGGCUUGAAUCCCAGCUCCCCCACUAAUCAGAUGUGUGACCUUGGGUAAGUGACUCAACUUCCUGAUCUGUCCAAUGGGGAUAUAAUAUUGGGUUUCAUGAAACCAAUCUCAUCAUUUUAGAGAGCCAUAAAGAAUUACACAUAUAAUUUAUAUAUUUAAAAAUAUAUAACUUUGUAGAUGGUAUCAAGGAACCCAAGAAACAACAGAGAGACUUAAAAACGGGCUGCCACGUCAGAUGACGCUUUGGCCUAAGUUAUGGAAAAUGCAGUUGCUGAAACGUGAAUUCGCCAGCUCGAAGAUAUGCUACUCCAAACACAGUGGCAUUGAUCCCGAUGUUCCCUCCUGCUGAGCCCCAGGCUCACCUGUGCCCUUCACCUGGAAGUCAGUGCGGCGCUGCAGCGUGGAUGGCAGCUCAUUCAGCCGUAGGCUCAGCUGCCGUUUGAAAGUAUGAUUUAAGAGUACGUUGCAUACAAUAAACAAGGCAUGGAAACAACCUAAAUGUCCAUCAAUAGAUGAAUGGAUAAAGAAGAUGUGGUAAUAUAUAUAUACAACGGAAUACUACCCAGCCAUAAAAAAGAAUGAAAUAAUGCCAUUUGCAGCAACAUGGAUGGACGUGGAGAUCAUCAUACUAAGUGAAGUAAGUCAGAAAGAGAAAGACAAAUAUCAUGUGAUAUCACUUAUAUGUGGAAUCUAAAAAAAAGAUACAAAUGAACUUAUUCACAAAACAGAAAUAGACUCACAGGCAUAGAAAACAAAUUUACGGUUACCAAAGGGGAAAAGGGAGCGGGGAUAAAUUAGGAGCUGGGGACUAACGGAUGCACACUACUGUAUAUAAAAUAUAAAUAUAAAUACAUAUAAACAACAAGGAAAAAAAAAAGAGUAAGCUGCAGACAGCUUACCCAACCCUAAAACCUUCAGCAUGUACCUAAGAACAAGGACAGCCUCCUACUGAACCACAGGACAACUUCUUACUUGGGAAGUUUAACAUGGAUAUGAUACUGUUAGCUAGUCUACAGUCCACAUUCUAAUUUCCCCAACUGGUCUACUCAGGUCCUUUAUGGAUGUUCAUAUAUAUAUAUAUUUUUCAAUGUAUAUAUUUUAUAUACAUAUAUUCAAUAUAUAUAUAUUGAAUUGAAUGUUGAAUAUGUAUCUAUAUAUACAAUAUCCAUGAUUCAAUUCAGUAUCGCACGUUACAUUUAUUAAUAUUUGUCAAAUCUCUUCAGUCUCCUUUAUCCUGAAUCCCAAUUCAGGAUUCUUUGUAAAUUCUAAGCAGUGUUUUCCAAAAAUGUAAAAACUAGAAACAGUUAAAAAAAGUAAAAUAAAAUUAAAAAUUACAUUUUGACUCAGCACACAAUACACGUAAGUUUAAAAACCACGGUUUGAGAACUUAUAAACUAUUUGCCUUUGACCUAGAAUGUUAGAGUUCACCAGGUAUUUUUCAAACUUUCAUGAUGGCAACCCAGAAUAAGAAAUACCAUUAACAUGGUAACCCGUUCCAUACACACACAUACACACACACACACAGAUAUACUGACAUAAAAGUACAUUGAACUAUACUUACCCUUACUACAUUCAAUUACUCUGAUAUUUUCUAUUCUUUUCCAUUUCAUUUCUUAAAAUGCUAACCACAACCCAGCAAGCUGACUUCACAACCCAUUAACAGGGUGGAUACACAGUUUGAAAAGCCUGGGAACAUCCCUGGGUUAGCAGAUAAUAAAGCUCUCGGUGAGCUUUGCUGGGAUUUGUGGCCAACAGAAUAUUGCCCAGAGGACUCCUUAAACUGAAGUACACUUUAUAAACUGUAACCAAACUUUGUGGUUGGUGCUUUGCUUUGUAUUUUUUACUUAAAAAAAUCGGGGUGGGGGGGGCUUCCCUGGUGGUGCAGUGGUUAAGAAUCCGCCUGCCAAUAAGGGGACACGGGUUCGAGCCCUGGUCCAGGAAGAUCCCACAUGCCGCAGAGCAACUAAGCCCAUGCGCCACAACUACUGAGCCUGCGCUCUAGAGCCCACAAGCCACAACUACUGAGCCCGUGUGCCACAACUACUGAG